rnacentral:rRNA from 1 species
GGUGGGGAUAAUUUGGAAACCGGAGUAAUACCGCAUAAGACCGGAAGGUGAAAGGCGAAANUCGCCGAGAGAGGAGCCCGCGGCUGAUUAGCUGGAUGGUGGGGUAAAGGCCCACCAUGGCUGAGAUCAGUAGCCGGCCUGAGAGGGCACACGGCCACACUGGCACUGAAACACGGGCCAGACUCCUACGGGAGGCAGCAGUGGGGAAUCUUGUACAAUGGGGGAAACCCUGAUGCAGCGACGCCGCGUGAGCGAUGAAGCCCUUCGGGGUGUAAAGCUCUUUCGGCAGGGACGAUAAUGACGGUACCUGAAGAAGAAGCUGCGGCUAACUACGUGCCAGCAGCCGCGGUAAUACGUAGGCAGCGAGCGUUGUUCGGAGUUACUGGGCGUAAAGCGUGCGUAGGCGGUGGCCCAAGUCUGGUGUGAAAUCUCCCGGCUUAACCGGGAGGGUGCGCCGGAAACUGGGCCGCUGGAGUGCGGGAGAGGCAGGCGGAAUUCCAGGUGUAGCGGUGAAAUGCGUAGAUAUCUGGAGGAACACCCGUGGUGCAGACGGCCUGCUGGACCGCAACUGACGCUGAGGCACGAAAGCG